GGAGGUGAGUCAAAAAGGACCUUGCUGUGAUUUAUAUCAUAGACUGUUCUAAGGAACUCUCAGCCUUCCUGGAGAAAUGACACUUGCUUGAACUGGAGGCAUCAAUUAGUGACGUUUGGAGGAGAAGAGAGCUUGCCACACUUUGGGAGCAGUAUGAUUGAACCAAAGCACAGAGGUAUUACCACGAACUUGAUUAAUUCUUCAAAGGGUUAACUGAGAUGGAAAACUGUAAGGUAGAUAUGCAGCAGAAGAAACAGAUUGCUUUGUGUGGAGACUUAUGCUAAAUCUUACUCCGCUCUUUUGGACCAGUACCUCUAAGAUGUGCUGCAUUUGUGUCAC